rnacentral:rRNA from 1 species
UACGUAGGGUGCAAGCGUUGUCCGGAAUUAUUGGGCGUAAAGAGCUCGUAGGCGGUUUGUCGCGUCUGCUGUGAAAUCCCAGGGCUUAACCCUGGGCCUGCAGUGGGUACGGGCAAACUAGAGUGCGGUAGGGGAGAUCGGAAUUCCUGGUGUAGCGGUGAAAUGCGCAGAUAUCAGGAGGAACACCGGUGGCGAAGGCGGAUCUCUGGGCCGUAACUGACGCUGAAGCGCGACAGCGUGGGGAGCAAACAGG